CGGAUUUUCCAGGCCGGUUUCAUCCCGGCUUUAUUAUUGUGGCUAAAGUAAUUCCCAUCAGCCGGUGCUGUUCCCGUCUAGAGGAGGGGUCCACAGCGCCCUCGCCGGGAGACGCCGGAGCCGGUUCAUAGAGCAAGACAGGGUCUUGCUGUGUAGUCCAGGCUAGCCUUGAUCUCACCAUGUGGCCUGGCCCUUGAAGCGAUCCUCCUGCCUCAGCCUCCUGUUGCUGGGAUUACAGGCUUGUGCUGCCACGCCCAGCACUGCUUGGAUUGCAGAAGCCGCACUUCCAGGGUUUCCCGUGCCCCUCAGCUGCCUCUGCAGAGCGGCUCGAACACCUGGCAGACUUAGUGGGGCUCAGAGGGCGUCCUCCCGCUGGUCAGGCUGCGACUUUCCUGCGUGGGCUUUGGCCCAGUGGGACGCGCUGUGGAGCUCAGCCUUGCCGGGCGAGCAGCGCUGGGAAGGGACUGGCACUUGGCUUGCUGCUGGGCCCCUGGAGACCGGGUGACUGACACCCAAGCCGCCUGCACGGCUGAGCGUCACCAGAUCCGCCCGGGUUGGCUGUCAGACACGGCCCGUGGGGUGGUGCGAAGUGCAGAGUCUGAGGAGACCUGAGGCUCGGUUUCAUGGCCUUGUCCCCGAGUGUCCUACUCAGGCCACCACACCACUCCUCCACCCACCAACACUUGCCCUUCGAGAAUCUUCUCCAUGAGCAGCAAGCAGAAGCACAAGAGGAGUGAAUCUAGCCUGGAGUGUGUGAAGUGUUUUGCGGUGAUCUGGAACCCAUAGGAGGUGGCCUGCCAGGAGACAGCAGCCGUCCCUGGCCUGCUCAGCCGCACGCAUGACGCCAGGGAAGGAAGCUUCUCCCGGUAGCUGGAACAUGGGUGCAUCAUCCUUGCCUCUUCCUGGAAGGGGGCAGGUGACUUGGUUAGGUUCUCGUGGAUGUGAAAAGAGUAAGACCAGAGGACAAGGGGUCUGGGAAGAGACGCGUGCCUGGUGUGAGCAGACGGCCCUCCGAAGUCAUUGCAACACGCCCACACCAGUCUGACUUCGGGGUUUUUUGGUACUGGGGAUCGAACUCGGGUCCUUGUGCUAGAACUUUGGUUUUAAGCCAGGUCGUCCUUGUGGUUUAUGCUCUGGAGGCCACCGGCCAGCACCAGCAAGUAGCCAGUGAGUUCAGGGGCCACAGUUCCUGUGCCACUGUGAUGCUCCGCUGGAGAGGACCAGGACCUGGGGUGGUCAGCGAGACACUGAGGAACGUGCCCUGAGGGGUCAGUGGCCGGAGAGCAAGGGGCCCGGAGUGGACGAGGAAGGGAUGGGCUCUCAGCAACACGGCAGCCUCUUACAAGCCGCGGGGAGGCGCGCUGGCCUCCGCCCCGAGUUUCUGCUCACACUCGCUCUGUGAGGCUGUGCUUAGAAGGCACUCUGAUCCGCUCAUUUCAGACGUACGCACACUGCCCACUGCACUGUGCCAGAGGCCUGCUUUUUACUAGUGAUUUUUAUUUUGCAACUCUCGAGAGAGCUAUCAUUCUUAUGCAAAUUUUCAGAGGAAAAUGUCCUCAAAAAAUUAAUUAAGAUACUAUUAGGCAGUGACAGUUCCAUCCUAAUCGCCACCCACUUAAGCAGCAAUUAUAAGAUGCCAUUGAUUGAUUUCAGACGUGCACAUCACCCUCGCCGUGUGUCCGAGCUCGGUCUUCCCCUCAGAAGCCUGACGUCAGCGAGGCCCUUGCUCCAGUCCUCCGCAGCACGAGCCUGUGCUCCGGCUCAACAGUGGACUUGGAUAGGGAGCUAGUUUUGCAAAAAGAAGAGAGGGCGAGGAGCACUGCUACUCCUGGCUGUCUUAGCCACGCUGCCUGGCUUCCAAGGCUGGUGCUGCCAGCGGGGCCCCCUGCCCAGUGCACGAGGCACUGUGGACUCGGUCCCAGGUACGGCGGGAGCCAUGCCUCGCAGGAUACUCUGGGGCGAGUCUUGCUUGCGCUCCCAGCUGCACAGCCCUGGCCUGGUUGCUCUCCUUGCUGGUGUGUGAACAGGCCAGAGCCUUCCAAUCCUGGAGCAGCAGCUCGAGUUUCUGUGUUCACAGUGAGGCUUUCUGGCUGACCCAGACCUGCAUUGACUUAGGAGAUAUCCUUCCAAAAGAAAAUGUUCUAUUUGUCCAGCAGUAACACUGUUUACAGAGCUGCAAGCUUUACUCUUUGAUGAUAAGGAAAGUUGAGAAACACAGAUGUUUUUCACUGGCCAGUGGUACUGUCUGGGUCAGCCUCCAGCUAGCAUAAAUAAUCGAGGAGGAACACAAUGCUCUUUGAAAUAUGAAAAAUCUUUUAAGAAAUGUAUUAUUGAUGCUAUGAAAACCAAAGACGAGAUUCAGGAAUGGAAAAUAAAGAUGGUACCUGCCAUACAGGGUGUGGUGCUGUCCACUCUGGCCAACAGACAGACAAGACCUUACAGGGAAUGAACAGCUGGUCACUGGCGCGGCACUGCUCAUGGGUCGAAUGCAGUGCUUCCAGCUCUUUCCCCAAAUGGCCUGGUAGAGAACCCUGCUUCCCAUUCACCUCGCCUCAACACGGCUGCAGGGCUUCGCCCUCAGCAUUAAUCUGUGUGUAUUUGCUAGACCGGAUCGUAAACGAAUGCAGGGAAUCUAAAUGGCCCCACCUCCGACGUGGCCCGCUGUGCACUGGGCAUGGGUCUAGAUCCCGAGGGUGCCCAGGGCUGGCCCAGCAGCCAGCAGAGAAAUCCAGGUUGUGGUGGCUUCCAUAUGACAGUUCCGCCCCUGCCUGCCUGCAGCACUUUCCACCCCAGACGCCCGGUCAGCCUCCGUGCUUCCUCUGCUUCCUCUGCUCUGGCUGGGCCCCACCAUCUGCACCCCGAGUCUGGGCUGUGGUGGAGUCUUAGCAGACGUGGCGCGACUGCGGCGUGUUUUUCUGUGCAAGGUUCGCUCUGUUCACUUCUGAUGUCCAGUGUUGCUUUUUCCAGUCAUUGGCCUAAUGAGCCCUCACUUCCCGUGGACUAACUUCUGGGUGCUUCCAGGCGGCCCACGGGGACACCCUCCUGCCGGGAGAGACAUCUGUGCACUGUUCCUUUCAGCCCUGUGCUGCCCCUGGAUGAUUUUAGUGACGGUGUCACCUGCUGCCUGGGAGGGCAGAGCCGAUCCCCUGGUGUGUCCCACAGGAGGCAUUGGGCUUCUCCUUCUCACCUUUAUUUCGACAGAGACACACUGAAUCCCCAAAGUAAGUUUUGCUGAAGGUGGAAAUCUGAUAAGGUGGCAAUAAACACUGAGACUAGGAUCAUGAAACUGAGCCCUCUUAUACUCAGUCCGGCUUCCCCAUCUUCGCUUUCAACCCAUGGGGCGGCCUUUCCUCUCGCUCUGCUCUCGAGGUCUGUUUCUGCAAGUGCAGACCUCGGCGUCCUGGGACAGGAGCUGCACCCACUCCGACCCUCAGCGCUGGUCCCUGCUGCCCGAGGGCCUCCUCUCUCCAGACCUGGAUCUCGGUGUAGCCGUGAGUUACAGGGGAAGAGACGCCUCAGGGGCCCAUCCCAGCCCGGCCAGGCCUGUCUGAGGGAUUUGCCAGGCGCCAGGCCUUCUCCGAGUGCUGGUGAUAAAAAUUUAUCUCGUUCAGAAAAGAUCAUUCUUCGGCUAAGAAAAGCCAGAUCUUGCUUGCUCCGGGCAUGGCUGGACACAAGUGACGUCGUCCGAUCCUCUCUCAUUUGACAGAGCUUCCUGUUCCGUAUCCGUCUCCAUCUCUGCCCCUCCCUCUUUUUCUUCUUUUUUCUCCUUUAUUUCCCCUUCUACUGAGUCCAUCUGCAUGGAAAAUGCCUCACAUUUUGACAAAAAUGACCACCAGCAAUUUUGGAUUUAUGUUAAAUGACAGCAAUCUCAACUCAGAGAGGAAGAUGUGAUGUCUUCCCAAUGGUCCUAGGAAGGUCCCAAAGGACACUGGAUGAGCCUGGCUCCCCACCCGGCACUGAGGGUAGAGCAUGGGAUUGCCCAGGCCGGGUGACUCCCACCCCUGUGGACAUGGCUGUGGUACUGUGGGUGGCCUGACAGCUCUUGUGUUUGUGGAGCAACAAGUUCAAGGAGAGCAGGGUUGCAGGAAGGGCAGUGGUAGGAAGAGGUGAAGUGACCCAUGUUGGCCAGUGUCACUGAGGCAGGGCCCGCAGGAGCGAAGUGUCCUUCGCCACAUGACGGACGCCACGGGGAAUUUUAGUCAGAGGAGAG
rnacentral:lncRNA from 1 species